UACGGAGGGUGCAAGCGUUAUCCGGAUUCACUGGGUUUAAAGGGUGCGUAGGUGGGUUGGUAAGUCAGUGGUGAAAUCUCCGGGCUUAACCUGGAAACUGCCAUUGAUACUAUCAAUCUUGAAUACCUUGGAGGUGAGCGGAAUAUGUCAUGUAGCGGUGAAAUGCUUAGAUAUGACAUAGAACACCAAUUGCGAAGGCAGUUCACUACACGGUCAUUGACACUGAGGCACGAAAGCGUGGGGAUCAAACAGG
rnacentral:rRNA from 1 species